rnacentral:misc_RNA from 1 species
GAGCGUCAUUGCACCUCUCAAGCCUAGCUUGGUAUUGGGUCUUCGCCCCCCGGGCUUGCCCGAAAAUCAGUGGCGGUCCGGAGUGACUUCGAGCGUAGUAAAUUUUUCCCGCUCUGGAAGUUCGCCCCGUGGCCGGCCAACAACCCCAAUUUUUUUCAAUGAUUGACCUCGGAUCAGGUAGGGAUACCCGCUGAACUUAA